CGCGCAUUCCAGCGGCCGCGUCACCGUUCCGGGAAGCGGGUGGCGUCAUCCCGCCGCCCCGUCAUCCCGCGGCGAAAGGGGCGGGCGCUCGGAGACAAAGAAAGAAUUAAAAAUAGAAGGACACAGCUUUCCAUGAUGUGAAAUACAGGGGAGAACAGAGUAAUGCCCCAGGCAGUGAUUUCAGAAGGACCUGUGAAGGUUCUUGGGAGUCUUCCAAGAGAAAACUGCAACAAUUUAAUGCCUUUCCAAAUUAUCAUUUGUUGAGUAUAUUGCCUGACGGUAGUUUUGAAACAAAAGUAAAAGGAGGUGAUUUACAAACUGUGUUCAGGCUUCUCCCAUUCCAAGGUGCUAUAUUUAAACAGAUAAGCAUCUUCUUUUAGUUUUUACUGAAACAUGAAAGUCUGGCAGGUCUGACAAGUGCAGUCUGAAACAUGAUCCUACAUUGACUCCUGUUAUGAAUUCACAGCCAGCAGUAUCAUCAGACCACAAAGACAGUAGCUGAGGCUGCAGUUUUCAAAGAAACACAUGCCUUUUCUGCAUAAGAAAACUAAUACAAAAUCUGAUUUUUUUUAAACCAAUGAAAAACUCAUAUUUUGGUAAAGGACUACAAAAAGAUUAGUGUUCAUAUACACAUUAGAGUUAGGAAAGAAAUAACUUCAUUUUAUGUGUAAUCCCAAAUUCUUGGAAAAAUCUCAGCUGCUCAGUCUGCAGGAUUCAGAGCCCCUGUGUUCUGGCAGGUGGUCUUGUUUAGAUUAGGAUGCAAUAACUAAUAACUGUGACUAACAGCUGCUAACACACACAUUCUUGGUAGGAUUUCUCUUAAUUGCGGUCUCUGCAACUGCAAAAAUAAAGAUAAUACUUUCAUUUGCAUUUCAUAACCCCUUCACUGAAUUAUGGUUGCUUAUAUUUGUAGUCCUGAUGCUCCAGUUGUUAAACAGAGGAGUCUUAAAGCAGGGAUGGUAGAAUCUAUCCUGUCACAAAAAUUAGUCAAAUAUGUAAGGAUCAAAGUGAGGGACUACUGACAAGAGUGCCGGGUGGGAAACAGCAACUCAGGUUAUGCAUCCUCUAAGUGAACGAACCCGUCUGAUACUUCUUAACUAGAUAGACUCAACUAUUAUUAAAUACUAAAGUCAGGCAAUUCUUGAUGCAGUAAUUCAUUAAAGAUGCAUGUUGGAAGCAGUACAGCAAAAAUAAUAACAUUUGCAGUGUUAACUGGAAGCAGCAAGUAAAUUGAAAAGAAAUUCUACACUUUCCAGGAGGUUAAACAGCUUGUUUUGAGUGCAAUUUAUAGAUUGUGAGGGCACCUGUUUUACUGGAAUAUACAGAGGUCAGGGAAAUGCAGCUGACUGAACAAAACAGCCAUAGCAGACAGCAAAAUAAAUUUCAGGCUGUUGGCAAGUAAAAGAACCUUAGACAUAAAAUAGUGUUGUUAAUUUAACACUAAAAGAAAUAC